UAGGGAAUCUUCCACAAUGGACGAAAGUCUGAUGGAGCAACGCCGCGUGAGUGAAGAAGGUUUUCGGAUCGUAAAGCUCUGUUGUUGGUGAAGAAGGAUAGAGGCAGUAACUGGUCUUUAUUUGACGGUAAUCAACCAGAAAGUCACGGCUAACUGCGUGCCAG
rnacentral:rRNA from 1 species